rnacentral:rRNA from 1 species
AUUGAACGCUGGCGGCAGGCUUAACACAUGCAAGUCGAGCGGGGGUAGGUAGCUUGCUACCGGACCUAGCGGCGGACGGGUGAGUAAUGCUUAGGAAUCUGCCUAUUAGUGGGGGACAACAUCUCGAAAGGGAUGCUAAUACCGCAUACGUCCUACGGGAGAAAGCAGGGGAUCUUAGGACCUUGCGCUAAUAGGUGAGCCUAAGUCGGAUUAGCUAGUUGGUGGGGUAAAGGCCUACCAAGGCGACGAUCUGCAGCGGGUCUGAGAGGAUGAACCGCCACACUGGGACUGAGACACUGCCAAGACUCCUACGGGAGGCAGCAGUGGGGAAUAUUGGACAAUGGGGGGAACCCUGAUCCAGCCAUGCAGCGUGUGUGAAUAAGGCCUUAUGGUUGUAAAGCACUUUAAGCGAGGAGGAGGCUACUCUAGUUAAUACCUAGGGAUAGUGGACGUUACUCGCAGAAUAAGCACCGGCUAACUCUGUGCCAGCCGCCGCGGUAG